UACGUAGGGUGCGAGCGUUGUCCGGAAUUAGUGGGCGUAAAGGGCUCGUAGGCGGUUUGUCGCGUCGGGAGUGAAAACCAGGUGCUUAACACCUGGCUUGCUUUCGAUACGGGCAGACUAGAGGUAUUCAGGGGAGAACGGAAUUCCUGGUGUAGCGGUGAAAUGCGCAGAUAUCAGGAGGAACACCGGUGGCGAAGGCGGUUCUCUGGGAAUGUCCUGACGCUGAGGAGCGAAAGUGUGGGGAGCGAACAGG
rnacentral:rRNA from 1 species